rnacentral:snRNA from 1 species
GAGAGCUCAUCUGUCCGGUAUUCGAUCGCUACGUAUAGGCUGAUCUGCUUUGAUAGGUGACACCCACUCUCCCGAUGCCAUGCGCUCGGUCGAGAGGAGAAUGGAAUCCCUCGGAUGCUAGGCGUGGAUUAGAGAUUAAAGUAGGAGUAUUCGCCCCCACUUAAUUCUUCCCUCCCCUUCGGCAUCGCGGUCCGAUAAGCCAUCAACCACAUCCAUAUAGGCACUGCACGGGGCAGUAUGCCUUCAUUU